AUUGAACGCUGGCUGCAGGCCUAACACAUGCAAGUCGAACGAGUUGCGGACGGGUGAGUAAUUUCUGGGAAACUGCCUGAUGGAUGGGGUUAACUACUGGAAACGGUAGCUAAUACCGCAUACCAUCGGAUGUGCCCAGAUGGGAUUAGCUAGUAGGUGGGGUAAAGGCUCACCUAGGCGACGCUCCCUAGCUGGUCUGAGAGGAUGCCCGUCCACCCGCGAACAGAGACACGGUCAAGACUCCGACGGGAGGCAGCAGUGGGGAAUUGUGGACAGUGGGCGCAAGCCUGAUGCAGCCAUGCCGCGUGUGUGAAGAAGGCCUUCGGGUUGUAAAGUACUUUCAGCAGGGAGGCGUUACACCCAGGAGAAGCACCGGCUAACUCCGUGACAGGAACCGCGGUAAUUC
rnacentral:rRNA from 1 species